AAGGGCACCACAAGAACGCGUGGAGCAUGUGGCUUAAUUUGACUCAACGUGGGAAAUCUUACCGGGUCCGGACACACUGAGGAUUGACAGGCAAUCAUGUGAAAUAUUUCUAUAUUUUACAUAUAAAUAUGCUAGUCCUUUCAUGAUUAUGUGAUAGGUGGUGCAUGGCCGUUCUUAGUUCGUGGAGUGAUCUGUCUGCUUAAUUGCGUUUCACAUAGGACUUAAACUCAAGUGUGCUACUUUUCUUGUACUUAUUAUAUGUAAAUUUGAUAUAAUAUAUAUAUGUGUUAUAAAAAUGUUUGCAAUAUAAAAUUUACUUUUAUAAUGUUUUCAUUAAAUAUAUAUCAUAUUUUUACAAUUAUUACUAAAUAUUUACUAUUUUGAAAUUGUACGUACACAUUAGGUCCUGAAAGCAACGAACGUGACCG
rnacentral:rRNA from 1 species